AAAAAACCCACGGGACCAACACGCGAAAAAAUAAUUCACUAAGAGGAAAGAUUACAAGGUGAUUACCGACUCCACGGACUCGACUUCUUUUAAUCUCCUAUGAAUCUCGCGCAAUUAUCCGGGUUGUCUACGCCCUCACGUUCGAAUCCACGAACGCCUUGCCCACGUUCGAAUCCACGAACGCCACUCGAAUCCACGAGCUCACGAUCCGAAUCCACGAACUGCCUUCGUUCACGUCGAAUCCACGACGACGUCCAUGAAGAACAUCAU
rnacentral:lncRNA from 1 species